UGCAAGUUAAAACAAACUAACUUCUCUGUGUCUUUCUUUGUGCAGAUGUUGUAAUGAGUGUUGGGGUUUAAACCUAACAUUUAAAUGGUCCUUCGAGCCGGAUUCCAAGAUACCUGACGAUCCCAGCGGGUGAGAGAGAUCCAGGUAAAACUCCGUGGCCACGGUAAAAAGACCUUUUCCGGGACUGGUCCUCCCUGGCAAGCUGGGAUCCAAGGGUUGACGGAACUCCAAGGACGCAGAGAAGUGGAAUACCGUUAGUUGAACCAGGUGACUGGGUCCUGAUAAAAAGCAUAAAGAAGAAGCAUUGGCAUUCACCUAAGUGGGAAGGGCCCUAUCAAGUGUUGUUGACUACUGGAACUGCGAUUAAGAUUGCAGAAAGGAACUCAUGGAUCCAUCUAACACAUUGUAAAAGAAUAAUAGAACAUGACUAAAAUAAAUUUCUCACUAGCAGUGUUUACCCUAACUAUCAUUGUUUGUGUUGUAGUAAUAGCAUUGUGGUAUCUGUUGUAGCAUUGUAGCUCUUCAUCUGACCUUCAGAGGUAGUCCGGCUACAAAGGGGGCUGCAAUUAUAGUUUGCAGUUGUCUCAAACCGGUGAAGAUUGUCCACAGCUCUGCUACAGGUUUUUAGGAAGGGCUCCAAUCUACAGAAAGAUGUUCACCCCUACACACAAAAAGAUAUUGAUAAUAGGGAGCAUCAUCUCAAUCAUAGUUGUAAGUGCCCUGUUAAUAUGGGAAAGAAAUCACAAAAUGCAAAAAAGAAGAACAGGGUACUAUAAUCCUAAUCGAUCCAAAAUCCAACAUGAAA